GAUGAAGAACGCAGCGAAAUGCGAUACUUGGUGUGAAUUGCAGAAUCCCGUGAACCAUCGAGUCUUUGAACGCAAGUUGCGCCCGAAGCCAUUAGGCCGAGGGCACGCCUGCCUGGGUGUCACACGUCGUUGCCCCCCCAUCUACUCCUUCGGGAUUGUGGGGGGCGGAUGAUGGCCUCCCGUGCGCCUCGUCGCGCGGUUGGCAUAAAUGCCAAGUCCUCAGCGACGCACGCCACGACAAUCGGUGGUUGCGAAACCUCGGUUGCCCGUCGUGUGCGGUCGUCGCGCAUCGAGGGCUCGAAAAAAUUGCCGGGCUCCGGCUCGGCUUUCAACGCGACCCCAGGUCAGGCGGGGUUACCCGCUGAAUUUAAGCAUAUCAAUAAGCGGAGGA
rnacentral:misc_RNA from 1 species